rnacentral:rRNA from 1 species
GUGGAUUAGAUACCCUAGUAGUCCACGCCGUAAACGAUGGAUACUAGCUGUUGGAAGCAAUUUCAGUGGCUAAGCGAAAGUGAUAAGUAUCCCACCUGGGGAGUACGUUCGCAAGAAUGAAACUCAAAGGAAUUGACGGGGGCCCGCACAAGCGGUGGAGCAUGUGGUUUAAUUCGAUGAUACGCGAGGAACCUUACCAAGGCUUAAAUGUAGAUUGACCGUUUUGGAAACAGAACUUUCGCAAGACAAUUUACAAGGUGCUGCAUGGUCGUCGCCAACU